rnacentral:rRNA from 1 species
GACGAACGCUGGCGGCGUGCUUAACACAUGCCAGUCGAACGGUGAAGCGCCUUCCUUUUUGGUGGGUGUGGAUGAGUGGCGAACGGGUGAGUAACACGUGAGUAACCUGCCCCCUUCUCCUGGAUAACCGCAUGAAAGUGUGGCUAAUACGGGAUAUUCUGGGUCUGUCGCAUGAUGGGUCUGGGAAAGAUAUUGUUUCGGUGGGGGAUGGGCUCGCGGCCUAUCAGCUUGUUGGUGGGGUGAUGGCCUACCAAGGCGGUGACGGGUAGCCGGCCUGAGAGGGUGGACGGUCACACUGGGACUGAGACACGGCCCAGACUCCUACGGGAGGCAGCAGUGGGGAAUAUUGCACAAUGGGCGCAAGCCUGAUGCAGCGACGCCGCGUGGGGGAUGGAGGCCUUCGGGUUGUGAACCUCUUUCGCCAGUGAAGCAGGCCUGCCUCGUUUGUGGGUGGGUUGACGGUAGCUGGAUAAGAAGCGCCGGCUAACUACGUG